CAAUGGCCAGAACAAACAGGGUACAAAGCUUCUACCAGGUGUAUGAAUCCAGGGACAGUUGCUUUGUCUCCUGUAAAGACCUCUGUAUUAAGAGCAUUAUGGAGAAGGAACCAGAUUUCUGUGCUCUACAGCAUCAUUUGACACAUCAUGCUACCUGGCCUGUUUAUGGACAACAUACAAUGAGACCGACGUCAGAAUGACUUGACCAGCUGUCUGCCUAGGUUAACGAAGCUCUGUGACCAGUUUCUCCCUAUCUGCCCUGCCUAUUUAGCCAGAUUGCCUUCUUUUUAUGAUAAAAUCUUCUAAAAGUUA